GGGCCGUAACUGACGCUGAGGAGCGAAAGCGUGGGGAGCGAACAGGAUUAGAUACCCUGGUAGUCCACGCCGUAAACGUUGGGCGCUAGAUGUGGGGACCAUUCCACGGUUUCCGUGUCGCAGCUAACGCAUUAAGCGCCCCGCCUGGGGAGUACGGCCGCAAGGCUAAAACUCAAAGGAAUUGACGGGGGCCCGCACAAGCGGCGGAGCAUGCGGAUUAAUUCGAUGCAACGCGAAGAACCUUACCAAGGCUUGACAUAUACGAGAACGCUCUAGAAAUGGAGAACCCUUUGGACACUCGUAUACAGGUGGUGCAUGGUUGUCGUCAGCUCGUGUCGUGAGAUGUUGGGUUAAGUCCCGCAACGAGCGCAACCCUCGUUCUAUGUUGCCAGCGGUUCGGCCGGGAACUCAUAGGAGACUGCCGGGGUCAACUCGGAGGAAGGUGGGGAUGACGUCAAGUCAUCAUGCCCCUUAUGCCCAGGGCUGCACGCAUGCUACAAUGGCCGGUACAAAGGGCUGCAAAACCGCGAGGUGGAGCGAAUCCCAAAAAGCCGGUCUCAGUUCGGAUUGGGGUCUGCAACUCGACCCCAUGAAGUCGGAGUCGCUAGUAAUCGCAGAUCAGCAACGCUGUGGUGAAUACGUUCCCGGGU
rnacentral:rRNA from 1 species